CACGUAGGGCGCAAGCGUUGUCCGGAAUUAUUGGGCGUAAAGAGCUCGUAGGCGGUCUGUUGCGUCCGCUGUGAAAACUCGAGGCUUAACCUCGAGCUGUCGGCGGAAACCAUCUGGCUAGAGUCCGGAAGAGGAGAAUGGAAUUCCCGGUGUAGCGGUGAAAUGCGCAGAUAUCGGGAAGAACACCCGUGGCGAAGGCGGUUCUCUGGGACGGUACUGACGCUGAGACGCGAAAGCGUGGGGAGCAAACAGG
rnacentral:rRNA from 1 species